CGUCGCCACGGGAAUACGAAGGGUGCAAGCGUUAAUCGGAAUUACUGGGCGUAAAGCGCACGCAGGCGGUCUGUCAAGUCAGAUGUGAAAUCCCCGGGCUUAACCUGGGAACUGCAUUUGAAACUGGCAGGCUAGAGUCUUGUAGAGGGGGGUAGAAUUCCAGGUGUAGCGGUGAAAUGCGUAGAGAUCUGGAGGAAUACCGGUGGCGAAGGCGGCCCCCUGGACAAAGACUGACGCUCAGGUGCGAAAGCGUGGGGAGCAAACAGGAUUAGAUACCCGCGUAGUCCCUGUCUCUUAUACC
rnacentral:rRNA from 1 species